rnacentral:rRNA from 1 species
UGAGGAAUAUUGCGCAAUGGGGGCAACCCUGACGCAGCGACGCCGCGUGAGUGAGGAAGGUUUUCGGACCGUAAAGCUCUGUCGAGCGGGAAGAAAUGUAUCGUGGCUAAUAUCCAUAGUGCUUGACGGUACCGCUAAAGGAAGCACCGGCUAACUCCGUGCCAGCAGCCGCGGUAAUACGGGGGGUGCAAGCGUUGUUCGGAAUCAUUGGGCGUAAAGCGCGUGUAGGCGGCUUGACAAGUCAGAUGUGAAAUCCCUGGGCUUAACCCAGGAAGUGCAUUUGAAACUGUCUAGCUAGAGUAAGGGAGAGGAAAGUGGAAUUCCUGGUGUAGAGGUGAAAUUCGUAGAUAUCAGGAGGAACACCGGUGGCGAAGGCGACUUUCUGGCCCUAUACUGACGCUGAGACGCGAAAGCGUGGGUAGCAAACA